rnacentral:tRNA from 1 species
ACAUAAUUAGUAUAUUAAAUAUAUCAGAUUUAGGUUCUGGAGAAUGAAUUAUGUU